AAGAGAUAUAAUAGAUGCCCCCCAUAGGGGGACUCACAGAGAUUAGCAUCUCUCAGCCCUAGGAUGGUGCCUGGCAAAGAAUCUCGACCGUGCAUUUGCAGUCACCGCGCGGUAUAAAAUAGAGCAUCCAGCCCACAGUGAAACCCUAGCCGCCAAUCCUCGCGCGACCCUCUCUCCCCAAUCCCAGCGUGUCCUCCUUUCCCCAAUCCCGUUCGUCCUCUGGCUCUUCUCCACAAGCCAAUCGCCCAGCCCAAUCCACUCCCGCACCCCGCCUCUCAUCGCGCCGCCUCUCCUCCUCCUCAAGCUCGCCGCCCUUGCGCCGCCUCUCCUCUGCUGUACCCGGCCAGGAGCCUCUCCUCAAGCUGCUGCAAGCGGUAGGAGGACCACAUCCAUCAACCUCUGAGGAUUCUUCAUCCCUGAAGACGCCGGCCAGCAGCACAUCGGCAUGGCCCUCCGCCUCUACUUUGUCAGGGAGGAGCACGGAGUGUGCAAUCUCCUCAAGGUGAACUGCUCCUCGCCCUCCUCGAGGUUGAGGUAAAAGUGGUUCCAAACUCCCCCUCUUUGAUUUAACCCCUGGAACAUCUCAUGUUUGUUUGUACAGAUCUGUUUUAUCUUUGCAUAGAAGGUGUUUGAUGAAAAUCGUAGAUAAGGUUAGUGUAUAUUUAUGCUCCAUAAAGCUGUUUGCAAACCAUAAUGCUAAUACUCCUAACAAUGAUUUUAGAAGUCAUCUCAUAACCAUAAAGCCAAUAUUGUUAAGAAUGAAGUUACUGAGAUAUUCCCUUCAGCCUCCUCUUCUUUGCUAUGCUCUAUAAAGAGAACCACAUAAGGAAAAGGCAGGGGAAAGGUGCAAUGAGCUUUUGCUGCAUUGUGACAAAGAGAUUGGCUAUUAUUCUAAACUGUCUUUUUUUGAUGUGUCGUCUUAUUUGCAAAAAAAAGGAAGUGCAGAAACUGACAUUUAUACCAAUUGCAAAUGGUACUCGCGUAAUAGCAGUGAAAUCACAUUUUCCUUGUCUAACUAUCAACAUGUCACCUUUUGCUUUUGAACUUCCAAGUCUGUAUCUUCCAUCUAUCUCAAUUCUUAGAGAAAUUAGAAUGUAGGAAAGUCUUAGAAACCCUUACGCAAAGGGGAUUUUGCUAGAUAUCCAAAAAUCAUGUGGUUAGCAGCAAUUAAAGGAGAUAGAGAUUUAUACUUUUAUCCCUUUUCAUUAACAAUAAACGUGUUGCUCUUUUUGUUGGUUCAGCUAGGCAUGAAGCACAAGAAUGUUUAAGCAAAAAAAAAAAAGUGUGCCUAAGAGUAGAUUAUGUUGUUCCUCUUUUGAUGUCUGCCCGUCAAAGAUUAUGUUGUUUUCAUAAAACUUCCAGAGCUGACCAUAGCGUCUCCAGCAAGAUGGACCUGCAUACAUUUGAUGAUUUUCCUUUGCAGAUAAUUGGUGUUGGAGUAAAGCACGCGUUUCCAAUCGAUGCUCCUGUUAUUGGUAAAUUGUAUCAUGUAUAUUUAUGUGAAGAUAUUACAGUGUCACUUCCAACUUUGUCCUCAUGAAUUGCCUAGGAGGAGGUAUGAUUCAAAUGCUUCGUACAUCUCAGUUAUGUCGGUCAAUUUGGCCAUGUUUCUCAGCAUUUCACCUUUCCCCUUAUUGAUUUUCCUGCCAUAUGGUCUUCCAUGUUGCUAUAAGAAGUAUAUUCCAGGUUACUAUGCUUGGUCUCUGCUAGGUAGCCCCAGUUCAUACAAGUUAAUUAUUGCUACUAACAUUUCAUCAUAGAUUUAUUGUAUAUCACGUUAUUUUGAGUGAAUGAUCCGUAGAUGGACUUUCUAUGUAAAUGGCCAGACCCACCACGAAUGGAUUACGGAUAUUGGAGGAUAAUUAUAAUCAUCAUCGACGUAGCAGUAGGUCAAAAAUGGUCAGGUUCAUGCUCGUGUCUGAUUAUUGGUAGUGGAACCGCGGUGUUGGUGCUUUUCUAGACAGUUCAGUGUACUGGUUUUCUCUUCCGUUUUGCCGUCCUCUUGGAUGCGGGUAAUAAAUCAAUCCUCUUUCUUUUAUUUCAUCUAUUAGGCAUCACAUACAGUUUCUUAGAAUGUUAGCCUAUGUGCAGGGAAGCCUUAGAUAUCUUUGUAUUUCAGGAUUAACUUUAGGUAUCCAUCUCCAGGAUUUCAGUGUGCACAUAUUUCUGUAUGCUAUGCACCUUGAGCCACGUAAACUGUUAGUGAAAAGAGUUCGAGUUUGCAGUUUUGUGUAUUAAAUUGCUUCUGCUAGAUCCCCACGAUGUGUCUCCCAUGGGGUUUAUACCGCUCCCUUGAUGUUGCAAACGUAAAAUAAACUAAAUGAAGAUGGUAAGUGACCAGGUAUGAUUAUAUGGCUUUAACUCUGUGAGCGGUGCUUUAUUUAUAAUGAGUAAAUAAUAUUAUUUGCUAUAUAGCAUUUCUGCCUACUAUCUAAAACUGAGCCCUCUUUUGUAGCGAAUAAUUUUUAUGGUGUCCAUCCGCUGGCAUGCUACGCCUCGCAGUGUAGCCUUAUCGCUGAUUUAGACCCAGCUGUCGCAUCGCCAUUUUUGAUGUCGUCACCGCACAGGGUUCAUUUCUCUCUCACUCGCGGUUUUCAGCGGUGCCUCGCAAGAUAAAAGACUGUUGUAUAAAAAUCUUCAGGUCCUAAAUUAGUUUUGCGGUUUAUUUUUGUCUCUUAUAAGUACUAGACACAUGCUAUUUUAAGUUCUCUUGGUGUAUAUUGAGGUAUUUAUCAUGCUUUUAUAUGGUUAACGACACAUAGUCUUUUCAUCAACUAGGGUGGUUCAGUUUGUUACCCGUUUUUUCGUGAGAGGACGUUGUCGAUUACUCGAUUUCUUACUGCUAUAUUCAGGAAGAGUAUAUAGGUCAGUAAGUUCCGCUGCAAAUUAAGGUAGUAACUUCAUGUUAAUAUUACCGUGUUUUUGGUUAAACUGCUUUUUUGAGAAUUCCUCUAUGAUAAAUUAUAUUAAUUUAGCAAACAAAAUGAAAAUAUACACAUGCCAUGAUGGUUCUAUUGUCUGCCUCACCACUUGCCCUCCUGUAUAUUGAUUUUCUCAUGCACAUUCUUUUGCUCUGUAUUUUUCUUUUGUUGCCAAUUUUUUUUGUAUUAUUUUGUUUGUGAAAGACCAGCCUCGUGUCUUUAGGUUCAACCUUUAUCUGAGACUCAUGGACAUGUUCUUGAAGUUGCUUUGAUCAGGGAUAGGAAAAUGGUGAACAACAAGGUGAGCCAAAAGUAUUUUGACUUAUGAUACCAACAUACCACUUCUGUUCUGUUUACCUCUCCGGGUUAGUAAAAGACAAGAAAGGGCUCAACAUACUGUUGGUGGGUCGCUGUAACCUAACUAGACUCCACCCUGCCGCUAGAUAAGGCAACAUAUUUGGACAAAAAAUUGUUCAGGUCAUAGCAAUUAUAUGCAUGUUCAAUGCAUCAGUAUAUACUAUGUUUGUUCUGUGGUCAGA